rnacentral:rRNA from 1 species
GCUGACGAGUGGCGGACGGGUGAGUAAUGUCUGGGAAACUGCCUGAUGGAGGGGGAUAACUACUGGAAACGGUAGCUAAUACCGCAUAACGUCGCAAGACCAAAGAGGGGGACCUUCGGGCCUCUUGCCAUCGGAUGUGCCCAGAUGGGAUUAGCUAGUAGGUGGGGUAACGGCUCACCUAGGCGACGAUCCCUAGCUGGUCUGAGAGGAUGACCAGCCACACUGGAACUGAGACACGGUCCAGACUCCUACGGGAGGCAGCAGUGGGGAAUAUUGCACAAUGGGCGCAAGCCUGAUGCAGCCAUGCCGCGUGUAUGAAGAAGGCCUUCGGGUUGUAAAGUACUUUCAGCGGGGAGGAAGGGAGUAAAGUUAAUACCUUUGCUCAUUGACGUUACCCGCAGAAGAAGCACCGGCUAACUCCGUGCCAGCAGCCGCGGUAAUACGGAGGGUGCAAGCGUUAAUCGGAAUUACUGGGCGUAAAGCGCACGCAGGCGGUUUGUUAAGUCAGAUGUGAAAUCCCCGGGCUCAACCUGGGAACUGCAUCUGAUACUGGCAAGCUUGAGUCUCGUAGAGGGGGGUAGAAUUCCAGGUGUAGCGGUGAAAUGCGUAGAGAUCUGGAGGAAUACCGGUGGCGAAGGCGGCCCCCUGGACGAAGACUGACGCUCAGGUGCGAAAGCGUGGGGAGCAAACAGGAUUAGAUACCCUGGUAGUCCACGCCGUAAACGAUGUCGACUUGGAGGUUGUGCCCUUGAGGCGUGGCUUCCGGAGCUAACGCGUUAAGUCGACCGCCUGGGGAGUACGGCCGCAAGGUUAAAACUCAAAUGAAUUGACGGGGGCCCGCACAAGCGGUGGAGCAUGUGGUUUAAUUCGAUGCAACGCGAAGAACCUUACCUGGUCUUGACAUCCACAGAACUUUCCAGAGAUGGAUUGGUGCCUUCGGGAACUGUGAGACAGGUGCUGCAUGGCUGUCGUCAGCUCGUGUUGUGAAAUGUUGGGUUAAGUCCCGCAACGAGCGCAACCCUUAUCCUUUGUUGCCAGCGGUCCGGCCGGGAACUCAAAGGAGACUGCCAGUGAUAAACUGGAGGAAAGGUGGGGAUGACGUCAAGUCAUCAUGGCC